UACGUAGGGUGCAAGCGUUAAUCGGAAUUACUGGGCGUAAAGCGUGCGCAGGCGGUUUUGCAAGACAGAUGUGAAAUCCCCGGGCUUAACCUGGGAACUGCAUUUGUGACUGCAAGGCUAGAGUGUGUCAGAGGGAGGUGGAAUUCCGCGUGUAGCAGUGAAAUGCGUAGAGAUGCGGAGGAACACCGAUGGCGAAGGCAGCCUCCUGGGAUAACACUGACGCUCACGCACGAAAGCGUGGGGAGCAAACAGG
rnacentral:rRNA from 1 species